AGUCCGGCGAACUCCCUGGUGGCUGCCUAGCUGCCCGCCCGGGCCUCUCCCGACGAGGGUGGCCCUGAGGCUCGCCUUUGUCCUGGAGGCUAGGCAGCGACCAAGGCUCCCCCGUUUUUCGCUGACGGUUCUAGUUCAGCCUCCUCACGCGCCUCCGGGAGCCCCAGUGCUCACCUGGGCGGCGGCGGUCACACCCGAUAACUGACAGGCCCGCAGCAUCUCGGUCAAGCGGACGGCGCUGCUGGUGGACUCGAGCUGCCGCGGCGGCGCGAGUUAAGUGGAGGCGUGCUUGCGUGUGUGCGUGCCCGCGUCCGCGCCCGGCGCACCGGAAGCACAGCGGACGCCACUGCGCACGCGCGGCCCCUUCUACCGUCCCCGACUCCGCGGCUCUUAGAGGGUGGGCUGUGUCCCGGCUGCGGAAACGCCAACUCCAGGCGAUUGGCGCGAAGGAGGCGAAAAGGGCGGAUUCCCUUUCCGGGUCGCGCCCGGGCUGCAGGUCCUUAUCCGGAAGGGGUUACUAGGUGAACACUGCCGGAGGGAGAGCGCUCUGAAAUCCAUUCUUCAGCCGCACGUGGAAAAUGGACAGCUGUGACUCUUAAAGAGAAUUAAAGCAACAAAGCAUCU
rnacentral:lncRNA from 1 species